rnacentral:lncRNA from 1 species
GGAACAAUUAUAAUACUAAUAACUAAUAACACUAAUACAUAAGCAUAACACAUAACCAAUAGAACGAUGACUAACCUAUAGGACAAAUUAUAAUACUAAUAACAGUAAUACAUAAGCAUAACACACAAUCAAUGGAACGAUUCCUAACCUAUUGGACAAAUUAUGAUACUAAUAACUAUAAAUGAGCAGGAAUACACAACCAAUACUAAUAAUAAUACUAAUAAUACUAAUAAAUAAGCAGGAAUACACAACCAAUACGCCUGUACUACCCUGAAAAUAAUCAGCCGACCCCGUGACGUAGCUUCUUGUCAUGGUAUCACAGUUUCACUGUUAGAACCACACUUCACCGGGGGACAGGAAUGUGAGAUGAUAUCAGCCCCCUGCCCCACCCAACCUAACUUCUUCAGAUUUCCUGCCUAUUGGAAUGUAGCGGUUGUGUGUGUGUGUGUGUGUGUGUGUGUGUGUGUGUGUGUGUGUGUGUGUGUGUGUGUGUUUGUGCGUGCGUGUGUGUGUGUGUGUGUUUGUGUGUGUGUGGGGGGGGGGGGUUAUGUUUGUUUGUGUUAUACAUUGAGAUCUUGAAUGUAAGUCAAUAAUGGCCUAUGUUGUCACUGUUGCUUUUUGAGAUAGCUUUAUAUUUGAUAAGGUGUUGCGUCAGUGACCUUAUCAGUCUUAAAACACACUACGCUGGUUUUGCUUUCUCACAGUGACGUGUUUGAAAUGCUUCUCCAAACCACGCUCAGUGGGAUGUUGUACAGGCGGUUGGGUUCUGCUUGGUCUGCCGUGUCACGACAUGCCCACUGUCUGUCAGUCAGUCAGGCAGGCCUUCUAACUAACUUUCGGGUGAGAGACCUGUGUAGGAGGAUCGCUCGGGCAGGUGAGUCAUGUCGUUCUGCAGGUGACAGGGGGGUAGGUGCCUGCAGGUAUCUACACGCAUAUGAAUGUGUCGCGGGAAGUGACGGGCCGGAGGUGAGACAGAGGUUUCAGUUGGACUUUGAAGAUGAAUCUGUACCGCAGCUUUGGGAACCUUAUGGAGUCCUAUGUGAGCGAUGGGAUGCCCUUCUCCUCUUCGGACGGGCAGAUGCCAUCGUGGACCGUUUCCUCGGACACUACAACACCUGCGUCCACGCCGGCGUCCACCCCGGACAUGGGGGUCAACCUGAGGUCCACAUCGGAGGACUCUGGAUUUGAAAUAACGCCAACUUCCUUAGACUCUUCUAUGUCGUCGGCUGGCCACCCAGAACUCGUCCCUGUGUCCGUGGCGAUGGACGGAGGGGAGCGAGGCCUGACCCCGGGCUCCGCUCUGACCCCGGGCUCCGCUCUGACCCCUGCCCUGCGCUCCUCCGCACGCUCCUUGUUCUCCGCCUCCUCGCUCUACCUCCCGGGGUCGGAUGCUGAUCUUGCCCCCGUGACCCGGGACAGAUCCAAGAGCCUGCAGCACAAGGUGGAGCAGGCCCUUCUGAAGCUCAACCCGGGCCGGCGCAAAACCAGGGACGGCUCCAGUCCGGAUCCAAACGCAGCGGUGGCACAGCGACGCGUGCCCAGGAAAGCCAUGUCUCUGCCGAGACGCUCCAGCGCCCUGCACAUCGUGCGGUCGGAGAGCGUCAGCGAGGUGGGCAGACCCGUCCACCUGUCGCUGCGUCAGGCCGGGCGUCAGAGACAGAGACGACCCGCGUCGGUCUACCAUGACAUGAGGCUGGCAGAGACCCCCAUAGAGGAGGUGAACGAGGAGGCCCGGGACGCCCUGGGUCCUGGGCUGAGCUACCUGGAGCAGGUAUGCCAGAGGUGGGAGCAGAUCGCUUGGCUACAGAUCAACAACCGCAAGUUAAACUUGGAAAUGGACGUGCUGAAGGACCACCGGGACACACAGCCGGAGUCUCGCCUGUGCAGCUGUGAAACUGUUCUGGAGAACCAACACAACAUUCACCGCUCACAUCUGGCUGAGUUUGAGCGUGUGUCUGAUGAGUUACGGUGGCAGCGGUCCAACACUGACGAUGAAUCCAGCAGCACGUCGCCAUCGGAGACAGAAAGGCUCACGAGAAAUUUAGGUAGUUUGAAAACACACACUAGAGGGCAGCCUGAGAGUGAAACACAGCCGGCGGGACCAGCAGACGGGGGUCAGAACCACCAGGCAAAGCAGAGAGGAAGGGCGUGGCUGUUCAGAACGGCUCCUUCCAGAAAAGCAGCGAGCGUCGACUCGGACGGCAGUCUUCAAGGCCGUCCGUCCGAGGGCAGGAAGAAGCCGAGCCAUCGCCUCAGCCUGCUUCUCCGUGGCAACAAGAAGACCCUGUGA